rnacentral:rRNA from 1 species
AACGUAGGUACCGAGCGUUAUCCGGAUUUACUGGGCGUAAAGCGUGUUCAGGCGGUUUGGCAAGUCGGGCAUGAAAUCUCUCGGCUCAACCGGGAGAGGUUGUCCGAUACUGCUGGACUGGAGGGCAGUAGAGGGUGGUGGAAUUCCGGGUGUAGUGGUGAAAUGCGUAGAGAUCGGCAGGAACACCCAGGGGGAAACCAGUCGACUGGGCAUCUACUGACGCUGAGGUGCGAGAGCGUGGGGAGCGAACCGG